rnacentral:misc_RNA from 1 species
AAAGUGCGAUAACUAGUGUGAAUUGCAGAAUUCUGUGAAUCAUCGAACUCUUGAACGCAUCCUGCACCUUGAGGCUAUCCUCGAGGUACACUUGUUUGAGUGGCGACAAAUAUAUACUCUAAAUAAACUUACUUGCUUGCAGGUAAAGGUAUUUGGGAUAAUGACAGUGUAGGUAGCUCUUACAAGCUUCCAACUCUGUUGAAAAGAAUAGGCUGAACUUGCUCACUUCAGUGUAAGUUCCAUAAAGGUUUGAGGAAUUUUAUAUUCCACUUAUCCCCUUUUGGUCUUAUGCAUUUCAAUGAAGUACAAGUCUUUCAGUUCAAAAGGAACAAACAAACUAAAAGGCUCACCCCUUUUAGACAACUCACCUAUUCGCCCUCAAAUCAAGUGGGAUUACCCCCUGAAUUUAAGC